GACUGCAUAGCUCAGUUGGCAGAGUGUUGGGCUAGUAUUCCAAAGGUCGUAGGUUCGAUUCCCACCGUGGCCA
rnacentral:tRNA from 1 species